AUCUGCACAUGCGCAGAUGGACAGCACAUUCAUUCAAAGAUCACUCUUCAGCGAUCGGCGCCAUUUUUGAAUCAGACGAAGAUCACAGUGCCAAACGAGGAAUGUUUUCUUUAUGUGGAAACACAGAGUUUUAUAGUCCUACAUGUGGCUGUGCAGAGAUUGUGGUUCCUCUCACACAUCCAGAUCAAAUCCAGCACUCUUUAUAGAGCAAGAGGUAUCGGUGAAAUUCAGUUGGAUUACAACAAUCCCUUUGGUCUCCAAAUAUAUGGGUCAGCUUGAUCAUUUCUCAAACCAAAGAAAGGAGCAGCAGCAGCACAGAAGAUCACAAACAUCCUGUCAGUUAUGGCUCAGAAUGUCUCCAUCGGCAAAAAAUGUGAAUGCAUCCUGAAAGCCCUGGCUGUCUGCCUGAAGGAAGACCCCUCAAACCUUGUGAAGGAGUACAUGAAUGUUGAACGUGUUGAAGCCCUAACCUCAACGCACAACACCACGCUGGGAAUCUAUGUCAUCAUACAGAUGCUACAGACCUUUACGAAUAAUGUUGUACUGUUGGCUGUUGCAGUACAUUUGUUUUUCGGUACUGAACAUGUUACAUUCCUUUCAGCGUUGGUCUUGCUUUGAAUAAUGAUGCAUUUUCAUUACAGAAGAAGACUAUUUUGUAAAUCCUACCUAAAA